UAGGGAAUUUUCGUCAAUGGGGGGAACCCUGAACGAGCAAUGCCGCGUGUGUGAAGACGGUCUUCGGAUUGUAAAGCACUGUUGUAAGAGAAAAACGGCCAUGAUAGGAAAUGAUCAUGGAGUGAUGGUAUCUUACCAGAAAGUCACGGCUAACUACGUGCCAGCAGCCGCGGUAAUACGUAGGUGGCAAGCGUUAUCCGGAAUGAUUGGGCGUAAAGGGUGCGUAGGCGGCGGGAUAAGUCUGAAGUGAAAGGCUGCAGCUCAACUGCAGUAUGCUUUGGAAACUGUUCUGCUGGAGUGCAGGAGAGGGCGAUGGAACUCCAUGUGUAGCGGUAAAAUGCGUAGAUAUAUGGAAGAACACCGGUGGCGAAGGCGGUCGCCUGGCCUGCAACUGACGCUGAAGCACGAAAGCGUGGGGAGCAAAUAGG
rnacentral:rRNA from 2 species